GGCUUAGAGUUUGAUCAUGGCUCAGGACGAACGCUGGCGGCGCGCCUAACACAUGCAAGUCGAACGGGGUUGAGAGGAGCUUGCUUUUCUUGACUUAGUGGCGAACGGGUGAGUAACGCGUGAGGAACCUGCCUCAAAGAGGGGGACAACAGUUGGAAACGACUGCUAAUACCGCAUAAGCCCACGGGGCCGCAUGGCUCUGAGGGAAAAGGAGCAAUCCGCUUUGAGAUGGCCUCGCGUCCGAUUAGCUGGUUGGUGAGGUAACGGCCCACCAAGGCGACGAUCGGUAGCCGGACUGAGAGGUUGAACGGCCACAUUGGGACUGAGACACGGCCCAGACUCCUACGGGAGGCAGCAGUGGGGAAUAUUGCACAAUGGGGGAAACCCUGAUGCAGCGACGCCGCGUGGAGGAAGAAGGUCUUCGGAUUGUAAACUCCUGUUGUUGGGGAAAAGAAGGAUGGUACCCAACAAGGAAGUGACGGCUAACUACGUGCCAGCAGCCGCGGUAAAACGUAGGUCACGAGCGUUGUCCGGAAUUACUGGGUGUAAAGGGAGCGCAGGCGGGUAUGCAAGUUGGGAGUGAAAUACAUGGGCUCAACCCAUGAACUGCCCUCAAAACUGUGUAUCUUGAGUAGUGCAGAGGUAGGCG
rnacentral:rRNA from 1 species